rnacentral:lncRNA from 1 species
UCUAGUUUGCGUACAUCUAUGUAAUCCGCACUAUGAGGAAACCAUAAACGGUAUUGGAUACAUGGAACCUCUCCGUGUGCAACCAAUCCACUUCCAAAUAUAAAAUUCGAAUAUCGUGUAAUUUUUUAUAUAAAACCCUACAUAGGUACAAUUCAGUUCAAUACAUUAAACUAUUUUAAAUCGGAGGAAAAGAUAACCAAUGGCUGUCUCCUUCAGAUGUGACCGGCAAUGAACCUGAAAACCAAGAGCUAAAAUCCAAUCGAACCGUUAACAAUGCAAAACACGUCAUUGUUUCAUAGCUUCUAGAACAGUACGUUUCGACGAUACCGAGGAAGACCGAGAGAUCAUAUGAACUGCAGUCAAAAUUUGAAUAAGUUCAACUACUCGAAAGUUAAAUUUACAAAGUUCAGUGACCAACGGGUCACUCGCCCAAACUUCAGUAUAACCUUGCAAUUGACUAACCUUGAUAAUGUCAACGUCGAUAUCAGUAUCUGCAACUGUAUGUUCCUGCAUUCGGCAAUACCAAUAAUGAUAGCUAGAAGCCUUUUAGGAUCGGACAACCCAAGGUUAUUGGAGUCAUCAAUGGCUACAUUGCAUAAACUGCCAGAUUUGAGAAAUAUCUACGUACCACAUUAUAAGUGAAACCCCGAAAUUGAUCGCCAUUAAUCAUCAUCCCUGCUUCACCAGCGAAAAAAAUCCUGCAGAAAUAUCCAGCCAUGGUACAUAUUCAGUUUCUUUGUAAUAUGCUUUUAUAGUAACUUGAACAUAAUGUGAAAUGAAUGAACCGUUUUUUGCAGGAGAAGCCUGGAGUUAUUGAAGGGAAAGUUGAUUGGAAGGGACGGCCAGCUCAGAAACACAAGCAUGGCGGAAUCAAGACAGCUUUCUGCAUACUAGGCAUGUGUUUAUGAGUUCAUAUUUGAAUGAAGGAUUGAGUAAUGAUGGGUAUAUCUUACGAUUUCGUAAAUUCUGAUUCUUUUGCAGUCGGGAUAGCUUGUGAAAACAUAGCCACUCUAGCAUUGGCGGUGAACU